GACGAACGCUGGCGGCGUGCUUAACACAUGCAAGUCGAACGGAAAGGCCCUGCUUUUGUGGGGUGCUCGAGUGGCGAACGGGUGAGUAACACGUGAGUAACCUGCCCUUGACUUUGGGAUAACUUCAGGAAACUGGGGCUAAUACCGGAUAGGAGCUCCUGCUGCAUGGUGGGGGUUGGAAAGUUUCGGCGGUUGGGGAUGGACUCGCGGCUUAUCAGCUUGUUGGUGGGGUAGUGGCUUACCAAGGCUUUGACGGGUAGCCGGCCUGAGAGGGUGACCGGACACAUUGGGACUGAGAUACGGCACAGACUCCUACGGGAGGCAGCAGUGGGGAAUAUUGCACAAUGGGCGGAAGCAUGAUGCAGCAACGCCGCGUGCGGGAUGACGGCCUUCGGGUUGUAAACCGCUUUCGCCUGUGACGAAGCGUGAGUGACGGUAAUGGGUAAAGAGGCACCGGCUAACUACGUG
rnacentral:rRNA from 1 species